AAUUCUGACUGCUUGUUUCCUUGACCUCUGUGUAAUGAAUCAGGCUCUUAACUCUGUGAAUAAAAUCCAUAUAGGCAUUUUUCAAUGCCAUCGUCAUCUAACAUUCAGAAAAAAAAAAUGUACAAUUGUUCCAUUAUUUCUCUUCUCAGAAAGACUGAGGGAAAAUUAAAGUUGCUUAUUUUAACAUGGAGGAGACAAGCAGCGCUGCCACAGGUGCUCUGUGAUGUAUCCCACAUACGUGACCCUGCUGCCCCCAGAAAGCUCCAUGACAUGCUUCCUUCAGCCCUCUCCUGUCAGGGGUCUGAGCACUGUGAGGACAGAGCUAACCUUUCCCAGCUGCACCCUGAUCUCUCAGUCCUUUCGCUCAGUGCCUUGCCAAGAAGGGGCUGCGGGGCUUCCGGCAGCUGUGGCCACAGAGCGCCCGGCUAAUUCGGUUUCUACUCUGGGUGGAUUUUCCAAUGAUAGAGUUUACGGUGCCGAUAAAAAGUGGCCGUUUCUCAUGCUAACGCUGCAUCUCAGAAGUGGAGCCAGAAUCCCCAGUGUAACAAGUUUUAAGAUGUGAAUUUGUAAAUAGAGAUGAGGUGAAGCAGAACACUGUGUAAUUGAAGAAAUUAAUAACCUGGAGACCAUUAGAUACCUAAAGACACAGAUAAUCACAAAGUUUGAAGAUAGUCCCACGCCAGGUUUGUAAAGUCUUUGAGGGGAAGUAAUGCUUCCAUUUCCUUUUGCUGAUAUUUAGUUAAAAUAUAUCUUUUAGAGAAAAUAUCUUUUAGUCGUGUUUGUAAUUUGGGAAUAAUUUCUAAAGCUCUACUUAUAAAGAUAAUAUAAAUGGAUUGUAUUAGAAUACAAAAUUGAGCAGUUAAGAAAAUCAUUCGCCACCGAUCUUGUUUCUGUAUACGGUGUCUCAAAAGUAGGGUGACUAUUGAAUUCAAUCUCUCCAUGACACUGACCCAAGGUUUUUAAUAAUAAAAACCUAAGUAACCAAAGAAAUUGAGAUACUUUUUGGUCUUUUUAAUAUUUUCUAUUUGUAUUUUUCUAUUAAAAUAGAAAGAAAAACAAUCAGCUCAUUUUUUAUGGAGAAAGGGUUAUUCUUCUAAAAUAUUUUGACAUAUUUAAGUCACAAUACAACAGUACAUUUUUUAGCGUUUAGAGAUGGAACAUUAAAGGAAACUCAUUUGGGAGCCAAGUUGGCACAAAUUCCUUACAGCUGUAGUCAGGAUGACUUUAAAACAAAAGCAGAAAAUGUAUGCAUCCAACGUGACCUAGGUAUAUCUCAGUUGUAAUUGAAGCCUGUCUUCCCUUUCCCGUUGGAAACCCUGAGUCUUUGCAGAAGUAGGUGAAGAGAGAGGACACCUGCUUUUCAUUUGAGAGUUGACAGGUCAUCAAGCAUGAGUGGUUCUUGCACAGUUUUUAGCAUUCUUUUCCCUGUUCUGCUUUUAUUUUCAUUCUAUGCUCUUCACUGUAGAUUAAUUUUUCAGCCCAAAUGGUCCCAGGCUAGCUUUUCCUUACAGAACCAGCUUGUCUCUUACCGACAGGCCCUAGUUGUUUUCCUCUGUUGUUUCGUUAUUCUGUUGCCAUUUCUUCAUUCCUGGCUUUAGUGAGUCACUCCCCACCCGCACUUCCCUGCUGAGCCGCUCACCAAACACAAAGUCACUUUAUAGCAGCUGCUCUUAACUACCAAGAAGAGAAAUAAAAUUGAAAACAAACCUCAUUAUUUCUAAGUGCACUCCUUUGUUUUCGUAUUCACAGAUUCUCUGGGCUGCUGCUGCUUUUUUUUUUUUGGUUACAAGUAGAACGUGAGUGGAUCUGACACAGAAUACAGAGCACAGAGGGAGAGUAACAAAAAACCUUGUCUACUCGGGUCCUGUGAGAAACAUCCACAAGCCAGAGUUGAAUAUAUCUGAAUCUACAUUGGAUUGCAUUGCACCAGAACCUCUGGGUAAAAAGGUUACAUCUGAAGGGGUCCUGAAGAUAAUAUUUGGAAAAAUACUACAUAAAAUCGUCUUUGAGUUAUCUCUACAUAAUCUCUAAAUAAAAUUUCUAUAUAUAGAAAGAUAUAAUUAAGAUAAAAAUGGAAGCCACAAAUUGGAAGAAAAUAUUUGCGAACAAAAAUGACAGUGUAUAAAAUAGUUCAUGAAGUCUUCCAAGUCACUAAGAAAACAACAUAACUGAAAAAAUGGAAUAUUAAGAUGCAAUUCAGAGAUGUGGAAACCAAACAGACAAUAAAUAUAUGGAUAAAAAAGUUCUUAAAUUAUCCGAUAAGAAAUGAAAGACAGAAUAAGUUGUCACUUCCCACGUAUCACACCGAGCAAAACAUAAAAAGCUUGGCCACACUAGACACUGGUGAGAACGUGGAGCCUGAGGAGCUUUGAUGAAACCUUCACAAGGAUUUUCUUGCAAUAGGAUUUUUCAAAGCAAAACUUGGGAAAGAAUAUGACUACUUUUUAAUAGGAUGUUAGAGACCGAAUUGCGUCUCCCCAAAAUUGUAUUUUGAAGUCUUAACUCCCAUAACCUCAGAAUGGGACUGUAUUUGGAGACACAUCUCGAAAGAGGUAAUUAAGAUAAAAUGAUGUCAGUGGGAGUGGCCCCUAAUUCACCAUGACUGGUCCUUCUAAACAACAGAUAGGAGCAGUUACAGACAGAAGACCAUGUGAUACAGAGAGACGACAGCCAUCUGUAAGCCGUCAGGGGUUGGGUCUUCUUCAGAAGAACCCAAAUCUGCUAACACCUUGAUCUCUGACUUCAAGUCUCCAGAAGUGUAGAAAAUAAAUGUCUGUUGUUGAAGCCACCCCAUUGUGGUACUUUGUCACAGCUGCCCUAGUAAAUUAAUGCAUGCAAUGAA